rnacentral:lncRNA from 12 species
CGCCUCUUCAGCACCUGCGUGUCCCUGGGAGGGAGCCGCUUGCAUCAGCCUCGACUCUGGGUUCGGUUUCCAACUCUGCUGGCUCAUUGCCCGUGAGCAAGCUACUUCCCUCCGUCCGUCCUUCCUUCAUUCGCUCAUUCAGUAACUAUUUAUUGGGUGCCUACUGUGUACCAGGCAUGCGUCAAGCCCUGGGGAUGCCCAAGUAAACAGCACGCACACACGCACACACACAUCCCUGCACUAAGUGCUCCAUCACCAUCAGCUACACCCUCUGGGCUUGACCUCCCCCUGCCCGUUCUCCUGGUGCUUUGUAGGCGCAGUGACCUCUCCCCAGGGAUCAGAGGAGGAGGUCAAGCUCCCUCUCUGGGCAGCCUCAGCCCUUGGGAGCCAGCGAGGGAGGCAUGGGAAAAUUACCCAUUCAUCCCUGUGCUCCCAUUUCCUGGCCUGGGGUGGCUGAGCAUUGUCAUGCUUGAGCUGGUGAUAAUAUAUUCCAUCACACAGUGCUCGUAACAUUAACAUCCGUGCUUGUCUUGGUGAAUGAUUUUCCCUGAUACACAGAGCAUUUCCUGUACCAGGCACCGUGCGCUGUUUAUUUAUAGGGUCCCUAAAGGAAGGGAGAUGCCAGUUUCCUCGUAUGUGAAGUGGGGGUGGAGGGUGGAGCUGCUUGGAACAGUCCUGUGUCCACAGGAGGGACUGCAAUCGUUCGAUUAAACUGUCUAUGUGAAUGACCUCACCUAGUGCUCGGGGCCUAGCAGGCAAUCAGGGAAAAAAAAAAAAAAGCCACCUAUUUUUAUGUUUAGUAUUAUUGGAGACAUCAAAUUCCACACAAGGAGGGAACAUGUCUUUGCUUGCCAAAGAUCAAGAUGCCUGCAGCCUCUGCUCCGUCAUCAUUUCAGGGGGGUCCCUACCAGGGCACUCAGGGAGUGAUGGAGCUUCACGCCACGGCAAAGCGACAGUGAGCUUUUAGGGAUUGUCGUCCUAUUAUAGUCGAGGAGCUGAGGCUCAGACCCGUUGGAAGUGAGGACCAUGGAGUUAAAUGACGUGAGUUCAAAUCCCAGCUCCGCCUCGUACUAGCUACAGAUCACUCUGGGGGAAGUUACUCAUUCUCUGUACAU